CGCGGUGGUCCCACCUGACCCCAUGCCGAACUCAGAAGUGAAACGCCGUAGCGCCGAUGGUAGUGUGGGGCUUCCCCAUGCGAGAGUAGGGAACUGCCAGGC
rnacentral:rRNA from 1 species